rnacentral:rRNA from 1 species
AUUGAACGCUGGCGGCAGGCCUAACACAUGCAAGUCGAACGAGUGGCGGACGGGUGAGUAAUGUCUGGGAAACUGCCUGAUGGAGGGGGAUAACUACUGGAAACGGUAGCUAAUACCGCAUACCAUCAGAUGUGCCCAGAUGGGAUUAGCUUGUUGGUGGGGUAAAGGGUCACCAAGGCGACGAUCCCUACCUGGUCUGAGAGGAUGACCAUGCACACUGGAAGAGGUACACGGUCCAGACUCAUACGUGAGGCAGCAGUGGGGAAGAGUGCACAAGGGGCGCAAGCCAGAUGCAGCUAUGCCGCGUGUAUGAAGAAGGCCUUCGGGUUGUAAAGUACUUUCAGGGGGGAGGCGUUACCCGCAGAAGAAGCACCGGCUAACUCCGUGCCAGCAGCCGCGGUAAUAC